UUGCUUCCAUUGUCCUCAUUUGUAAGUUGCUUUGGAUAAAAGCAUCUCCUAAAUGUCUAAUAUUAGCAAAUACAAUAAUUGAUCAUCAGUCAUCAAUUGAUUUGAUGAUGUUUUAUUCCUUACAGGUCUCAAGCCACCACUUCCUAGCCACUCCAUCUCCAGCUGUUCUCUCAGCCCUGGAGAAGACGCAAAGGGCCUAGGUGCCAGCCAGUUUGCAUAGGCCUCUCAGUGGGUGGCAUAGUCUGUUUUGCUGCUCCUCCCCCUGCCCUGUACUUCAUUGAUUUGCCAUUACACUAUUUUCAAGACAAGGUGUAGCAAUUUCAUUUAAGGACCAGAACUGCCCAACAACCAGAAUUUUGAGACGAAAAAAAAAAAUCAGGAAGCUGAAGGUACGCUUUGCAUGUAUCCAGUUCUUUUGGUUCUUGUUUCAGAAUACGUCCUUUUUGCUGUGACCCUGUUUUUAGGGAUGAAUUCACUGUGAAGGUGCUUUCCUGAAACGGGCCUGUCUUGCUUUACAGCCCAUGCACAGGUCCUUCACAGCUCACCCUCGGGACUGCACACACCUUGAGAAAACAGGGAUAUAACUCAUAAUAAAACUCCCAAUAGGGUCGGACACUGAACCAUUUUUUUUUCUGUUCUGGCAUCAGGAGACUGGUCUGCCAAAGAAAAAAUGUGCAUGUGCUAUAAAAGCAUAAAUCUGGGUUUUGGUUGAUGUCAGCAAGUACCAGGUUUUUCAUCAGUCCAUGCCCCCAUUUAUGAAAAAUUUAGAGGAAUAUUAGGAAUUUGUGAGGCGGUUUCGUCGUGGCAUUUCGCUGCAUCUGUUUUCUGACAGACAAGGCCUUAGAGGGCAGUUCAGUUUAUUGACUCUGUCCCACAGUUAUAAAUAUUUUUACAAGAAACUUAGAAAAGAUGGUCUUACAGCCUCUGACAAAGACAUAGAACCUGUAAAGUUUUCUGAAGAGCCUUUAACAAAAGUAAUUUUAAAUCUAAAGCGUACUGAUUCUGAAACC